GAUGAACGCUGGCGGUCUGCUUAACACAUGCAAGUCGAACGGAAUCCGCAAGGAUCUAGUGGCGGACGGGUGAGUAACGCGUGAGAAUCUGCCUUCAGGUCGGGGACAACAGCUGGAAACGGCUGCUAAGACCCGAUGUGCUUAACGGUGAAAGAUUUAUCGCCUGAAGAUGAGCUCGCGUCCGAUUAGCUAGUUGGUAAGGUAAAAGCCUACCAAGGCGUCGAUCGGUAACUGGUCUGAGAGGACGACCAGUCACACUGGGACUGAGACACGGCCCAGACUCCUACGGGAGGCAGCAGUGGGGAAUUUCCCGCAAUGGGCGAAAGCCUGACGGAGCAAGACCGCGUGAGGGACGAAGGCUCUUGGGUUGUAAACCUCUUUUCUCAGGGAAGAAACCUGACGGUACCUGAGGAAUAAGCAUCGGCUAACUCCGUGCCAGCAGCCGCGGUAAGACGGAGGAUGCAAGCGUUAUCCGGAAUGAUUGGGCGUAAAGCGUUCGCAGGUGGCUAUUCAAGUCUGCUGUCAAAGACCGGGGCUUAACCCUAGAAAGGCAGUGGAAACUGAAUGGCUGGAGUGCAGAUCGGGUAGAGGGAAUUCCCAGUGUAGCGGUGAAAUGCGUAGAGAUUGGGAAGAACACCGGUGGCGAAAGCGCUCUGCUGGACUGCAACUGACACUGAGGGACGAAAGCUAGGGGAGCGAAAGGGAUUAGAUACCCCUGUAGUCCUAGCCGUAAACGAUGGAUACUAGGCGUUGCCGGGCUCGACCCUGGCAGUGUCGGAGCUAACGCGUUAAGUAUCCCGCCUGGGAAGUACGCACGCAAGUGUGAAACUCAAAGGAAUUGACGGGGGCCCGCACAAGCGGUGGAGUAUGUGGUUUAAUUCGAUGCAACGCGGAGAACCUUACCAGGGCUUGACAUGUCGCGAAUCCCGGUGAAAGCUGGGAGUGCCUUCGGGAGCGCGAACACAGGUGGUGCAUGGCUGUCGUCAGCUCGUGUCGUGAGAUGUUGGGUUAAGUCCCGCAACGAGCGCAACCCUCGUUUUCAGUUGCCAUCAUUAAGUUGGGAACUCUGAAGAGACUGCCGGUGACAAACCGGAGGAAGGUGGGGAUGACGUCAAGUCAGCAUGCCCCUUACGUCCUGGGCAACACACGUACUACAAUGCUGCGGACAGAGGGUAGCGAGCCGGUGACGGCAAGCCAAUCCCGUAAACCGUGGCUCAGUUCAGAUCGCAGGCUGCAACUCGCCUGCGUGAAGGCGGAAUCGCUAGUAAUCGCAGGUCAGCAUACUGCGGUGAAUACGUUCCCGGGCCUUGUACACACCGCCCGUCACACCAUGGGAGCUGGUUUAGCCCGAAGUCGUUACUCUAACCGAAAGGGGGAGGACGCCGAAGGCUGGGCUGGUGACUGGGGUGAAGUCGUAACAAGGUAGCCGUACCGGAAGGUGUGGCUGGAUCACCUCCUUUUUAGGGAGACCUGCUUGCUGAUGACCGGACCCAAGAAAUUUUGGUCACAGUCAAGUCAUCCCAAGGUCGAGCGAGGUUUUUGAGAAAAUGGCUUUCAAACUAUACUCGGGUUCGGCGCUCAGAGCGCAUAGAUUUGAGUUCAAAAGAUUCAAUGUAAAAUCGUCAGUCAAAAGUCUAGACAGACUCGGGAGAGGACGUGUUAAGAUGAAAGACCGGGGGAAACCCCAGAGCCAGUCAGAGCGCUGCCGGCAAGUUGAAAAAAAAUUCCCGCCAGGGGAUUGACAGUCAAAAAGCAGCCGUGCUAAGCUAAAGGACCGGAAAGAAAAAAGAAGUGGGAGAGUUGAGAAACGACCCCAGUUGAAGAUUUAAGCCCGCCGGCUCAAAGAAAAAAAUUUCCGCACAGGGGAUUGACAAUCAAAAAGCGGCAGUGCUAAAUUAAAAAUCCGGGAAAAAAACAAGUGAGAGAUUUCAGCAACGACCCAAGCAACUGACUUGAGCGCCUGCUGGAUUCUAAUCCAGUCAGAACCUUGAAAACUGCAUAGCAACUUGUCAGGGAGAAGCUUUUAGUGAAGAGCUGAAAGCUAAUCAAACAGACAUCAAUGUUAAGCGUGGUCAAGCUACAAAGAGCUGAUGGUGGAU
rnacentral:rRNA from 1 species